rnacentral:lncRNA from 1 species
GAGGGGAAUGGGGAAUCGGCAGGAAAUGACCCGAACUGCCAGCCUGCGCCUUUGCAGCCGGCCCUCGCUUUGCUGAAGACGAGCAGCUCCCACCAAAGUCUUGCCUCCCCUUACCCCGAAAGCCCCGCUCAGGUUUGUAAAGAGGGGUGCGAGAUCUGAAAAGUAUUUGUCUUCUAGGGAGAGAGAUGUUGGUAAGGGGCCCAGAGAAAGACGGGUCCUUUUUAGCUCAUCAACGCGCCACGUCUUGCUUUGCAGCUCCAAAAUGAUGCCAGCGCUGCUGUCCGAAGGGUCAAUAUUAAUGCGUUAAGUGAAAUGGGAAAUAAAUGGACAGUGGCACAUUUCGUGGCAUCAUUUUUACAAGGGGAUGUCGAAAGUUUUAAGCUGCAUUUAAGAAUUAGCCACAUCUUGCCUGAAAGUUAAUAUUUUUUGAUAAACUCGUUAAUAAAGCCUAGAAGAGUUCAAUAUUUCAAGUGAAAAUCUGCCUGUUCGAAAAGAAAAUAUUCACAAAUGAGCAGUGUAUUAGAAGACAACUGAAUUGCUUCUAAGAAUGGGUCUCACUCUGCCAUCACCCAGGCUGGAGUGUGGUGGCACCAUCAUGGCUCACUGCAGCCUUGAACUCCUGAGCUCAAGUCAUCCUCCCACCUCAGCCUUCCGAGUAGCUGGAACUGCAGGUGUGAGCCACCAUGCCUGGCUGAUUUGUCUUUUUAAAUUUUUUAUAGAGACCGAGUCUCAACUAUAUUGUCCAGGCUGGAAAAGAACUUCUUUCCCUCCAAGUGAUAACCUUUUCCAGACAAGUCAGCUUAAAAACUGACCCAAAGGCCCUGAAGUACACAGUUUUCUUGGAGAAAGAAAAAAAUAAGUGAAAAGGACUUGCUGACUUGCUAAUUCAUUUUGGGGCCUGUGGGUAACAUCAGAAUGGCAAAGCACUUGGGGCUUUUUUCUAAUUUGUAUUUUUUUAAUCUUCUGAGAAAUGACUUUUAUAUGCCAAGAUUCAUUCCAUGAUUAGUUUUUAUGACCAAGUUAUGAACGCUUUUGAAUAUGGGGACCUAGAAUAGAAAUGCUAACCUACCUGCAAGGAGAGCUCUGUGAUUGGCAUCCCCAUCAUGCUGUAACUGACACAAAAUAAACUUAGGGUAAUUGCCGCAUAGUGUAACUUUAAUGUGUGAGCAUACUGUAACAUCUGACAAGCUUCUUGAUCUAGAUCAGCAAUGUGUAACCCAUUCAUUGUUGUCACUCUCAACAAGGCCUUAUGGUCAAACAUCAUCACUCUCACUAAAGAGAUAGUUUACUGAAAUAUACUGAGAUUUUGAAACUGGAGUCAAGAGGUAGCACACUGUUUUAUGUUGAUCCAUUUAAUGGUCCUUGACAGCCAAUAAAAAGACACUGGAAGAA